rnacentral:rRNA from 1 species
GACGAACGCUGGCGGCGUGCCUAAUACAUGCAAGUAGAACGCACAGUUUAUACCGUAGCUUGCUACACCAUAGACUGUGAGUUGCGAACGGGUGAGUAACGCGUAGGUAACCUGCCUGGUAGCGGGGGAUAACUAUUGGAAACGAUAGCUAAUACCGCAUAAUAUUCAUUAUUGCAUGAUAAUUAAUUGAAAGGUGCAAUUGCACCACUACCAGAUGGACCUGCGGUGUAUUAGCUAGUAGGUGAGGUAACGGCUCACCUAGGCGACGAUACAUAGCCGACCUGAGAGGGGGAGCGGCCACACUGGGAAAGAGACACGGCCCAGACUCCCACGGGAGGCAGCAGUAGGGAAUCUUUGGCAAUGGACGAAAGUCUGACCGAGAAACGCCGCGUGAGUGAAGAAGGGUUUCGGAUCGUAAAGAUCUGUUGUAAGAGAAGAACGGGUGUGAGAGUGGAAAGUUCACACUGUGACGGUAUCUUACCAGAAAGGGACGGCUAACUACGUG